AUUAUUAUUAAUUAUUAUCUUUGACACAGGGUUUAUCAGUGUAGCCAUUGCAGUCUUGGAACUUGCUCUGUAGAGCAGGCUCACCUGAAACUCAGCCUGGCUCUGCCUCCCAAGAGUUGAGAUUAAAGCUUUGUGCAUCAGACAAAUGGUCUACAACAUCCCCAGCCUUUCCAGUCUUUCCUUCUAUGAAGAAAUCUUGCUAAGAGCUCAGGCUGGUCUUAAUCUCACGGCAGUGACCAAGUCCCCGCGAGUGAAGAACAACCCAUCUCAUGACAAGUGGACUAGGGUAUACCUGUUCUGCUGCAGCCACCCUCGCAGCCCUGGCACAGUGCAGCCCCCUCCAAAGGUAAAGACCGACUGUGUGAUCUUUUAGGGGUCUGUGGAAGACUGUGCAUACUCUCCUAUGCGUCAGGCCGGCCCUGCUUCUAACAGCGCGAAGACAGUAGAGGUAAGUGGUCUAGGAGCACUCCGGGGGAAAAAGCUUGUAAAGAAGCUGUGACUUCAGCUAGAGAAAGGAGGUGGGACAGGACGAAUUCUAGCAGAGGGCACCCUACGCAAAGAAAUGUAUGGUGGUGGUGCUGUGCUCGCGUGCAAAUGAGUGGCCUAAUGAACCUGACCUCUCCUGGAUUACUGGAGUUACCUGCCGCCAAAACGUGUCCAAAUAUGACCUCGGACACCUCUUCUGGAGCCACCUUGGCUCUCUGCAGGACUUCUUUGAUGACAGUUGUCCCCAGGUCGUGGACAGGCACAGUGGACAGGGCACCAUUGAAGGAGCCUAUAACGGGACAGUGAAGAGGGAAGGAAUCUGAACCGAGAGCACAUUUAGAACCACCGAGGCAGCGGAUGGAGGAGCAUGCUUUUUAAACAGAAACGGCCGGCGCCGAGGCGGGCAAAGGCGACGGGGACUUCCAGGACAAUGCCAAGCCUGCCCGGAGCCCCUGCUAGCUCCCGGCCCUCCCACCCCGCCACCACAGCACGACCGAUGGCGCUUCGCUGAGCGGACCAAUCAGCGACCGGGAGAGAGAACGCACCCGAAAGCCAGCCAAUCGGUGAGCCGGCAGAGCGGUGGCUCUACUGCGAGCAACCAAUCGCAGCACGAGGGGCAGGGCCGCGAGUGAGGCGCCGGGCACCGGGCUGGGGAGUCUCGGGCCGAUCGCCCCUCCCCGUUCCGCGAACCCGGUUCUUUGAGCACCUGUUGGGGAGCGGGACACUCACCUAUGGCAGUCCGCGCCGCCGAGACGAUGACCACGGGGUCCGAACCUGCGCUCAUCCUGCCGCUCCGCUCUCCGCCAGCUGCCAGCCCCGCACAGUCUGCAACUGAGGUGAAACUUCCUUGAGCUUUAUAGGCCGGGGGCGGGACCAGGGCCGCCAUGCCACGCCUCCUCGCGCCUGCGCGAAACGCUGGGCGAGUCUAAGUCCGGGUGUGGGACGGGACGUGAAUGGGGUACUCUGGUGGUACCGGGUGGGGUGCGACCAACGCAGCGUGGGUGUGUCGGGGUAGGGUGGUAUGUAUACAGUCCCUGGGGAUGGACGAAGACAGCCUAGGGUUGUCGGAGAGCGGGGUGGUAUGCUGUCUAGGAAUCCUAGGUGGGGCGCAUGUAAACGGCCUAAGGAGACCGGAGGGGCUGGACUUCUCGAGGCGACCUUCCCCUUUCUUGGGUAGGCACCUCCCGCCUCUGUUGCCGUGUCCUCCUCAACGCUGACAGCUUCUGGGCACGUGGCCUCUGUGGAUUGAUCGCUGCUGUUUCAAACCCUUCCAGACUUCUCAUUCAGCCCAAGUCAGAAUCUGUCAGACUUUCUCCUUACCUAUCUGCUUUGUAUCCUCCAUGCCUCCUGCAGACUCCCUCUGGCCACCUCCCACCCCCAGCCCGCCACCGCCCCAGGCCAGCUGCCGUGCCCCCAUUGUUUUGAAACACCAGACCCACCCUGGUUUGCUUCUGCCCCUUCCUGGCCCACAGAGAAUGCCACCUAUUUAGGAAAGAAGACUGCUGUGCUGGAAGGCAAGGUUUCCUAGGCAAGCCUCGCUGUGAGCGGGCACGGUGGACAGCGGAGUAAGCGAAAGGUGCCGCAGGUUGUGAGAAAACAAAAACAAAACCUGUCACGCUGGGGCCUCUUCCUGAAAUGUAAAGCAAACUGAAAAUUCAUUAAGAUUUUGAGAGACGUGGAUGAGUCAAAUAAAAUGGAUAAGCGCUGGCUCCAGACUAAAGAGGAGUAAAAUUAGAGUAUGAGUCUGUGGAGUUUGUGCAAUCAAGAGGACUAGAUUUGGAUUCUAAGAAAUCAAGUGGAUGUUGGGUAGAUGUGGAAGUCCACCUAAAAUUCUAGUCUCAAGACAGAGACAGGAUCCCUGGAUUAAGCUGGUCAGUUAGCUGUUGUUUUAAUGACUGACCAUGCCUCAAAAGAAGAGAGAAGACCAGAUGAGGAAGAUCUGACACCAAUCGUAGGCCUCCACCCAUAAACACACAUGAAAAAAAUGAGCAGAAAUAUAGUCUUCUAGGGACAAGGUGUGUAUUCACUUGUUUCCUGCCUGGAAGCUCUACCUGGAAAGCAGAGGAGAAAAUCUCAAGAAGCUAACUGCUUUUGUUGAAUGACCAACAGCAGUACCAAGGAGUCAUUAUAGCUCCUUACAGUGGACUACUGAGAGCAAUGUAUGGGUUAGAUGCAAGCCAGAGAUAAUGAUGGAAAAAAAGUAAGAGAGAGAGAGAACAGUUUCUAUUUUUCUUUUUUCCAGGAAGAAAUCAUUUAUUAUUUUGAUUCACAGUUCCAAAGGGAGAGAGUCCAUCAUGGCAGAAAGGCAUGAGGAACAUGUUAGUAGAAGGAAGCUGCUGAUCACAUUUUAAUCCAUACAGGAAGCAGAGAGCUUGUUUUGUUGUUACCCUUUUGAAUUUGUUUUUCAAGACAGGGUUUCUUUGUGUAGCCUUUGGCUGUCCUAGAACUUGCUUUGUAGACCAGGUUGGCCUGGAACUCAUGGCAUGCAUCUCCCCACCCCCAUCUGCUGUUUUAAAAUUUUGUUUUUGAGACAGGUCUGUGUAAACCUGGAACUAUGUAGGCCAGGCUGGCUUCCAAAUCACAGAGAUCCCCCUGCCUCUGCUUCCUGAGUUGGGAUUAAGAAGGCAUCACCAUGCCCAGCCUUAUUUAUUUUUUUUGUGCACUGCCUGUGUCCAGGAGCCUGUGGAGGCCAGAGAGGGCUUGGAUUCCCUAGGACUAGAGGCAUUGAUGGUUGUGAGCCACCGUAUGCAUGGAUGAUAGAAACUGAACCUGAGUUCUUUGCAAGAGCACUAAGUGCUCUUUACUGCUGAGUGAGCCAUUUCUCCAGCCCUUAGAAUAGUUUUUUUUUUAAUAAUUUAUUUUUAUUUUAUGUGCAUUGGUGUUUUGCCUGAAUGUAUGUAAGUGUGAAGGUGUCAGAUCUAGAUUCAUACACUAUUAGGCUGGCAAAAAACCCCCAACCCAAACCAAAAAAGAAUUUUGCAGUGCUACUAAAGGGGAUUUCACGAACAGUUACAGGAAUCCAACUGUCAGAAAAAUGCUGUUUUGUGGAUACUGUUUCUACAAAAAGCUGAAUUAAACAGUUGAGAGGACAA